rnacentral:rRNA from 1 species
AACGAACGCUGGCGGCAUGCCUAACACAUGCAAGUCGAACGAUCCCUUCGGGGAUAGUGGCGCACGGGUGCGUAACGCGUGGGAACCUGCCCUUAGGUUCGGAAUAACUCAGAGAAAUUUGAGCUAAUACCGGAUAAUGUCUUCGGACCAAAGAUUUAUCGCCUUUGGAUGGGCCCGCGUUGGAUUAGCUAGUUGGUGGGGUAAAGGCCUACCAAGGCGACGAUCCAUAGCUGGUCUGAGAGGAUGAUCAGCCACACUGGGACUGAGACACGGCCCAGACUCCUACGGGAGGCAGCAGUGGGGAAUAUUGGACAAUGGGCGAAAGCCUGAUCCAGCAAUGCCGCGUGAGUGAUGAAGGCCUUAGGGUUGUAAAGCUCUUUUACCCGGGAUGAUAAUGACAAUACCGGGAGAAUAAGCCCCGGCUAACUCCGUG